rnacentral:rRNA from 1 species
CCUACGGGAGGCAGCAGUGAGGAAUAUUGGUCAAUGGGCGGAAGCCUGAACCAGCCAAGCAGCGUGCGGGAUGAAGGCCCUACGGGUCGUAAACCGCUUUUGCACGGGGAUAACACCCUCCACUUGUGGAGGUCUGCAGGUACCGUGCGAAUAAGGGCCGGCUAAUUCCGUGCCAGCAGCCGCGGUAAUACGGAAGGCCCGAGCGUUAUCCGGAUUCAGUGGGCGUAAAGGGAGCGUAGGCGGGCUUUCAAGUCAGCUGUAAAAUCGCUCGGCUCAACCGAGCCGGGCAGUUGAUACUGGACGCCUUGAGUUCACAACAGGCAGGCGGAAUUCGGGGUGUAGCGGUGAAAUGCAUAGAUAUCACGAGGAACCCCGAUGGCGAAGGCAGCCUGCCGGGGUGCGACUGACGCUGAGGCUCGAAGGUGCGGGUAUCAAACAGGAUUAGAUACCCUUGUAGUC